rnacentral:rRNA from 1 species
UAGGGAAUCUUCCACAAUGGACGCAAGUCUGAUGGAGCAACGCCGCGUGAGUGAAGAAGGUUUUCGGACCGUAAAGCUCUGUUGUUGGUGAAGAAGGAUAGAGGUAGUAACUGGCCUUUAUUUGACGGUAAUCAACCAGAAAGUCACGGCUAACUACGUGCCAGCAGCCGCGGUAAUACGUAGGUGGCAAGCGUUGUCCGGAUUUAUUGGGCGUAAAGCGAGCGCAGGCGGAAGAAUAAGUCUGAUGUGAAAGCCCUCGGCUUAACCGAGGAAUUGCAUCGGAAACUGUUUUCUUGAGUGCAGAAGAGGAGAGUAGAACUCCAUGUGUAGCGGUGGAAUGCGUAGAUAUAUGGAAGAAUACCAGUGGCGAAGGCGGCUCUCUGGUCUGCAACUGACGCUGAGGCUCGAAAGCAUGGGUAGCGAACAGGAUUAGAUACCCUUGGUAGUCCAUGCCGUAAACGAUGAGUGCUAAGUG